ACUAAACUGCACAGCUAUCAAAAACCAUGUCUGAGGGUGUCGUCAGAAAAAUCCAACCCUUUACCAUUGGGACCAGGCUGUCUGUCCCCUCUGAAGCCAAAUGCCAGGAGUUCGUGGACGUCUAUCUGCCGAAGUCUGCUGCUCCGGACAAGUUGGAGCUACACGACCAAAUGUCCCUUUACAUGGGCCAGUCCCAGGGGUGGCCUGGGAACUCGGAACUCCCACAAGUGGCCACCCAGGUCUACGCUUCAACACCAGAGGGACAUCAGGAUGAGAGAGUGGAGGAGGACAGGAAUUCUGUGUCCCCCACUGCAUCCUCUAGAUCCAUCAGGAAGAUUGCUAUUUGCCGGAAUGUUGAGACAGCCCCCGACGUGUCCUUGUGUGACUCUGACCUGGCCACUUCCGUUAGAUCCACGUCGGAGACCAUCCGAAGCAACCACAACAGUGUUCACCCAAAACCGCCAUCCUUGAUGGUAGAGGACGACUUGGAUAAGAGGUCCAACUCUCAGUCUAAGGUGGACUCUUGGUUCAAGAGGAAGCUUCGGGAUCUGAAGUAUGGCUGUAGUGUCCUUGGAUGUCCUUUGCAGGACCCAGAGGACGCGUCACCGACCCAACAGCGAGACCUAAAGGACAUUGAGAAUUCCCUCAUACAGAUGACGAGAAGUCUGGACAUAAAACAGGAUGGACAUCAGUACGAGACGCUUGACGUGGAGACCGGCCACGAGGGAGAGAAGAGGAAGAGACUGCAACAAAUAGAAGGCAACAAAAUCCCUUCUGGAGAGAACACCGUUAACCAAACCUGGCUGAGGUUCCAGUCACUGUUAAGAAACUAUCACCAAGACCUCAAACUGGCUCUGGACGUCUCCUCCUUCUACCAACAGGCUGACACCAUCAUCUGCACCAUCAACAGGAAGAGAAGCGUCCUGUCUGGAUCCGAUAACCAGGGGAGCUGCGGUCAGACAGAGAUCUACAAUAUUGCCAGCCAAAUCAUGAUGCUGAACGAGACUGUUUCCCGCCUUUCGGACCUCCACCCUACCCUGGCUGCCAGAGUGACACGGAAGCAGGCUGAGGUGCAGGAGAGCUGGGGCCUUCUCCAGGAGGGUAGUGGGAGCGAGUGGCCAGAUUUGCCCACCACCCUUGACAUAGACUUCUCCUGUGAUGAACCUGGCUCACUGAGUCCAACCAGAGAUACGGAACAUGAGGCCCAGAGGACCAUAGGAAAGGACAUCAAAGAGGAACAGAACCGUCUCAAAGGGUUCGAGAACAUGAAAGACUGUGGUGUCCCCAGGAAGCUGACUGUUUGUCAAGUUGAAGAACAGCCUUUCAAAAGCUAUGCCCGAGUCUCCUGUGACACCACCAGCAAUCUGGAUGACUUGAUUGGAAGACGGCGUGUGGAGAGGCAAGGAAAGGACCAGACAACACAUUUGAACACUUGUUCUCCAGAUUGCCAAUCAGAACUUGGUACUCAGUUGCAAAAUUCUACCACAUCUGCUGAUAAGACUCUGUCAUGGCUGAAAGACAACCUUGCUAUGUCAACCCCCAGCCACCAUACAGCCACUACGUGUGGUCCAGAUGUGACUAAAAACCUGCCAGCUGAUAUUUACGAGGACAAUGUUGUUUCAAACACGAUUUGCUUAGACCUGUCCAAGGGAGAAAAGCCAGGGUCAACCCAAGGCCAGCACAAAGGUGGUGUGAAGAUGGAGGACCUCCUUGGUCAAGUGGAGACGCUAUGGGAAGUUCUGAGGAGAAGACAUCAUAGAAGCAUGAUUGAUGCAAACAGCUCUGAGAGGCUCAACUUGGAGAGGGAUGACAAUCAUGAGACAGACAAGGAUCGGCUCGAAGGACGCAUGUCAGAAUACAGGGCAACCACGGAAAACGUGGAAUUCUGGAGCGUCCCAGAAGUCAAGGAUCUCUCUGAGACAUUGGAGGAAAACGACAGAGGAAUGCUGACAGAGCUGCUUAGGUGUCUUGACCAGGAUGAAAACUUUGAUCAUUGUGAGGUAGAGGAACAGCAAUCAACACUGAAGCUGCGCAUCAACCAGCUCUUGUCCAGGUGUGCAGAGUUCAGCAUGGACAUUCUGGACACUGAGACAGACAUGGCGGUCAGAUGUGAGCCCAAUAGUUCUGAACUCGAGGGACUGCAGGAGCAACAGGAUGAGCUAGAGAGGGACUAUCAGGUCAUAAAAGAGGAGGUGGAGGAGAUUGAGGGACUGGCUUCGCAACUACAGGUCCUCCUACCUGAGAUGGCAGGGGCUUUGGGGGAGAACGUCCAUGCGACCCAGCAAGCUUGGCAGGAGUUGGGCUGGAGCAUCGCAGAGAACCAAUGCAACCUCCAACAAUUUCGGCAACUGCAAGAUUUUCUUAGGGCCUACCUGGCCAUGAUCUCAUGGACAGAGGACACACAGACUUGCAUUUUCUCAGAGGCUUCAGCCCAGCAGUGGAGAUUGGCAGAAUCGAGUGUUCCAUCUGAGCUGGAUCUGAGGAUUGAGCAGAAGUUUGACGAGUUUGACAAGCUCGCUGCUGCUGGGCAGAAGCUUAUCAAGGAGCGACAUCACUUGGCAGAUAUUAUAAAGGAGAGGACUGAGGAACUGCAAAGCAUGCUGGGAUGGAUCCUGGUGUACUGGAGGGCACAGAAAGACCAGCUGGGUCGGGAGAGGUCAGGGGAUUCAAGAAGAAGUGAUGCCCCUCAGGGAGACGCAAGCAGAUUUUCACAAGGCCAACCCCAGAAUCUAUCCUCUCUGGCAGAACACAAGUCCUCGGAAAGACUGUCCACAAAGCACAGGCUGAUGGUGGCGAGCCGGUUUGAAGGACCACAAAAAUCCCAACCGGGGAUAGGUCACCAUGGAGAAAACUUUGCCAAGCUGGUAAACGUCACACCACACGUCCCCUUGGCUGUGGCAGUAAACUCGCCCAGCAUUAUCCUUGAAGAGCCCUGUGCUACUGUCACCCCACUGGGCAGCAGCAUCAACCUCAUCCUCAGUUUUGACCAACAGCCACCAGGGGGCAGUCUGCAACAGGGGCCAGUGGAGGCAAGGCAGGCAGUGGAACCUGUGCAUAGGGUGAGCACCUAUCUGCAAGUCACAGAUGGAAGUCCUGUUUUUGAAGAGGUGGCAUCGCCUCAUAUCACAGACACGAGCCACGUGUCGACCACCGUUUCCACAAGCUCAACCAACGCCACUUUCAUACCCCAAGUCAGGACUGUCUUGCUCCCCACCUUACCCAGAACCAGUUCCACCUCUACCUUAAACCUGAAGGGACCGAUGAAGAGGAGGAAGAAAAUUACACACAGGCACACUGUGACUGGCAUUGUCGGAAUGCCCAAGCCGGAGGGGGUUACUACCGUGCCCAUCGGCGCCACACACAGAGCCUACACCUGGCCACUGGAGGAUAAGAAGGAAUGCCAUGCCAAACAAGGAAGUCCAGUUAAUACAGAACUCCAACUGUAUAUCAAAAAUAAUUCUGUGGUGAGUGUCAUAGAUGGAAACUUUUCAGACACAUCAAGCAUUCCUACCAUUCCUACCAUCCAGGGGCAUUUCUUGCAUGGGCCCAAUGAGAUGACCAUUAGGCAAGACUAUGGCGUUAUCCCUCUUGGGUCGAUGUUGAGCUUUGACCUACCCAAGGAUUGGGGGAAAAUCUCACAGAUAGGUGCAAAAGACCUCACAACAGAGAAAGUGCCUUCUGAAGCCAAUGGGGACCAUGCCAGUCCACCUUUGAAUCUGUAUAUCUCAAACACACUCAGUCAGACUCACGAAUCAUCCAAAGUAAUUGGACAGACUUUCACCCUCAGUCCAGAGAAGGAAAGGCAUCUUGAAGCUGAUGGGGAACAUGACAGUCCGAAUGGUUCACCUCCGAUUCUGUGUAGACCGCCAGGAUCAAAUACACUCAGUCUAACUCAGAAAGUGAUUGGGCAGAAUUUCACCCUCAGUCCAGGGGAGGAAAGUAUCUGCAAAACAGGGGACUUUGCUGGUCAAAAUGGUUCACCUUUGAAUCUAUACAAAUUGGCAGACUCAAACACACUCAGUCAGACUCACAAAGUGAUUGGACAUACUUUCACCCUCAGUCCGAAAGAGGAAAGGAGCUGCGAAACAGCAAGGCAGGACUCGCAGAAGGUGAGCGCAGAGUCUGUUUCUCUUUUGGUUCAGUGUAUCUCGCUUCCUGAGAAAGAUGACGUCUAUCACGACCUAAGAUGCGCCACAAGGAGCCCUGCCCUUGCUGCUGGACAUGAGAACAUUUUCUCCAGCACUGUUGGUAUCCACGAUGAGGAUAAGGUUGAGGUUUCUAUUCCAGUGGCCAUUUUGGACUCUAACAAGCAACGCACUGAACCAAACUGCAGCAGCUCGAUACAUGACCACACCCACACUGAACCAGCACAGAACCACAAGCACAACUGUUUAAGUGUUCACACUAAGAUUCAAGACCUCAAUAACCACAUAUACUUCCCUUCUGCAAAGAGGCAAUUCACUUUCCAAAGUGCACUUCGAGUUGUAGAGAUCAAGGUCUUGUCUACUGUGUCUGAAGACUCCACAUGGAUGGGUGUGCGCGGGUCUGGACGAGUCAUUGUGUGCUCUGAGGACAACUGUUGCGUGUGCUCCGACAGCUCCGCACCAAUGAUGGUAUUGGAAAAAGAAACUUUACCCAAAAGAGAACCAGAUCAUAUUCAUCCUGAUCAUUGGCAGUUUGAGGAGGAGGAAGAGGAGCUGGAGGAUAUCUGGAAUGGCACAGACCGGGAAAGAGCGCCUUGAAUUACUGUGGUCCAAAAAUACAAGGUGGUGCCCAUGCCACACUGAAGCACAGACCAGUGACCAACCAGCCAGAGAUUAAAGUGUCCCUAAACGAAUAGCGUCUCAGAGUAGGAGUGCUGAUCUAGGAUUAGUUUGCUUUUUUUAGAUCAUAAUGAAUAAGAUUAUAUGACAGAUCCUAGAUCAGCACUCCUACUCUGAGAUGCUUUGUGGGAUUCGGACCCAGAUCUAUGAUCAGUUUUUUCUCCCCCUUUUCCAAUCUUGACUCCAAAUGGACUUUUACUUCACAUUGUCUCAGUGACAGAGGACUAUCGUGUGCAAGCAGCAGUGGUGGAAAAGUACUCAAUUGUCAUACCUUAAUAGAAAAUGACUCAAGUCAAAGUCACACAGUAAACUAUUACUUGAGUAAAAGUCCAAAAGGUAUUUGGUUUUAAAUAUACUUAAGUAUCAAAAGUAAAUUGAAUUGCUAAAAUGUAAUUUUUUGUUGUUGUUGGUAUUUAGCAAAAAAUGUACUUUUUUUGUGUUGGUAUUAAGCAAACCAGAUGGCACAAUAAUAAAACAAAUGUUUUAAUUGACGGAUAGUACUUUGGAUGUCAAAAAGGGUAAAAAGUACAUUAUUGUCUUUAGGAAUGUAGUGAAGAACAAUUAAAAGUUGGCAAAAAUAUAAAUAGUAAAGUACAGAUAUCCCCCCCAAAAUACUUAAGUACUUUACACCACCUGCAAGCAGUCUGCAAGAAUCUCACUACAGGAGACUGAAAACAUCCAUACAAGACCAAAGUAGUCAUGCAUGUACUGUUCUUCAAUAAGGGAAAUUAGACAGAAUUCCCCAUAUUCAACUCUUACCUGUGAUUUUGACUUGGUAUCCUCAACCCUUUUUUUUAACCCUUAUUUUACCAGGUAAGUUGAACACAUUCUCAUUUACAGCAACGACCUGGGGAAUAGUUACAUGGGAGAGGAGGGGGUGAUGAAUGAGCCAAUUGGAAGCUGGGGAUGAUUAGGUGGCCAUGAUGGUAUGAGGGCCAGAUUGGGAAUUUAGCCAGGACAUCGGGGGUUAACACCCCUACUCUUAUAAGUGCCAUGGGAUCUUUAGAGACCACAGAGAGUCAGGACAUCCCAUACUAAACGUCCCAUACCACAGAUGGAUUUCCACUCAAUAAUUGAUGGAUGUCAAUGGACAAUGGAGGGCCGAAGCACUACAAUCUUUGUGACUCUUUACAUUGGUUACUGGCUGUUACCAUGACUUGACUGCCUGAUACAACAUACAAUACACAUUACUGUAUUGAAGCAAUCAGACACUUGAUGCAGGGUCACAAAUAGUGCAAUACACUGAACUGAAUAGACUUACCCCAUUGAAUACCAUACAAGACGAUCAAAAUGUAUUUGCUCCUUCUCUUUAAUGCCACUUGGUGUCUGAUUUCUUUCAACUGUGUAUGAAUUGCAUGCAGGGCACAUAAAGAAAGAACUGCCAUUGAUACCUAUUUUAAUCUGCUGUACAGUAGACUAUCAUUUAUAAUUGUAAUCACUUUUGUAAAGAAAAAAUAAAUAAGUCAAAGAUAAUUUGCAGUCUCAGUUCAUAUUGAAUUGAAGUGGUUUGUCCGUUUAUUAGUUGUAAUAGAGAAACCUAUUUCAGGUUAUCACGAAGAAGUUCAACCUCUCAUACUCUUUCAAUGAAUUUGAAGUAUCUAGGAAGAUUGCCUUUACGAGUAGACAUUUUAGAUGGUCAGGCUCAGAUAUAUUCACUUUAUUAUUGUUACAAAAAGCAAGACAACUUGUAGUCCAAUUCGUGGCUGUGCAAACUUCCAGUUGGGGCCAGUAAUAGACCAUUUAAGAGCCUUCAUUUAGAUAGGCUACUUUAUGUGGACACAAUGUGGACCAAUGUGAAUUCAUUGUCGAGCAGUACAGGAAAGAUAACGUGUCACUACUAUUACUUAUGCUCAUGUUUUCAUUACUGUAUUCUGUAUGAUUUUACUCAUUCUUUCUGCAUUAUUUGUGUCUAUGUUUCAGCAAUUACAAGUGAUGAUUGACAUCUCAGAGAACAAACGAGCAAUAACGUCACGGUAGGCCAGCCUAUCCUUAAACAAAUGACCGCAUGGGAUAGGCGGGACUUCUGCCGAUGCUGCCAGCGCGACUCAACAGAAACUAGUUGUAUAGACAGACACAGCUAGGCCUAUUGAUACAGUUCAUGAAUUGUAGGGACGGGGCUUUGUCUAGUUGCAAUUGCAAAAAGUCAUUGGUAAACACAGUUUAUUCUUCAACUAGGAUGUUAAGCCUUCAAGUUAAUCGUUUUGGAUAAAAUGGGAUUGGAGUUAUCUAGAUCUCGUCUGAG
rnacentral:lncRNA from 13 species